ensembl:snoRNA
UGGAUCAGUGAGAACUGCUGGUGAUAUGUAAGCCAUGUGCAAUGAAUAUGUGUCUCGAACUCUGAGGUUCAA